rnacentral:rRNA from 1 species
UACGUAGGGUGCGAGCGUUGUCCGGAAUUAUUGGGCGUAAAGGGCUCGUAGGCGGUUUGUCGCGUCGGGAGUGAAAACCAGGUGCUUAACACCUGGCUUGCUUUCGAUACGGGCAGACUAGAGGUAUUCAGGGGAGAACGGAAUUCCUGGUGUAGUGGUGAAAUGCGUAGAUAUCUGGAGGAACACCGGUGGCGAAGGCGGCAUCCUGGACCGGUAUUGACGCUGAGGCGCGAAAGCCAGGGGAGCAAACGGG